UUGGUCAUUCUAAGAAUGCCACAUGUUUUCAUAUUAAUCGUUGGAUUAAGUUAAUCAUUUUAGUUCAAUUAAAUAUUAUUUACUUGGACUAAGUUCAAUUAAGCCAAAAAAAUAAGCUUAAUUGAGCCCAAAGACUAAAUAUAACCUAAGUCCAUAUGGUUGAGCCCAUGGGUCUGGUCCAUGGACCAACCAGGUUCAAACUCAUAAAGUCCACCAGUGAACUCUAUAAAUAGAGAAAUUCUCCUCAUUUGUAGAGGUUGGAAAAUUUUGACUCUAGAAGAUCUAGAGAGAAUUCUUCCAAAAGCUAGAAGACUCCCUAACUUCUGAAGUUGACCACCCUCGAAGAUUGAAGCUGUUUUGAAGAUACAAACUUUCUUCCAAGACUCCAACUUCAAGAACAUCACGUGCUCCGCUUACUCAAAUCAAGCGUAAACAUUCAACCAACUUGAAGAACAUCACGUGCUCCGCUUCUCCAAAUCAAGCGUAAGCAUUCAACCAACUUGAAGAACGUCACGUGCUCCGCUUCUCCAAAUCAAGCGUAGACGUUCAACAAACUUCAAGAACAUCACGUGCUCCGCUUCCUCCAAAUCAAGCGUAGACAUACAGUUGAGAGAGAAUCAGAUGAUCAAAUUCUAGAGAUUGAAUCGAAUCGCAUCAAAUCAACAAAAAUACAACAUCAACUCCAAGUUCAAGUCCACGAAUUAAAUUUCUCCGGAAAUCUCGUGCGAACAAUGAGUUUAUAAAAAAAUUUCAUUAUAAUUAAUUUAUGAUAUGCAAUUAUGAGUAUACGUGUUAAUAACAUAGAGAAUCAUAUCCUAACCUCUUCCUAAUAUCUCGAGAUUAAAAAGAUAUCAACAACUUUAUUCAUUUUUUUAUUUCACCAGUGUUAAAGUUCUUAACAACUUUAUUCAUUUUUUAAUUUCAAAAUAAUCAUAUUAUUAAUUUUUAUUGGCUAAAUCUCCAUCUUUCAACCUUCAAUAAAUUGUAAAUUAAAAUUAGUUUUCUAAUUAGAUCUUAAUUUACUUUUAAAUUUUGAAUUUGAAAAUUAAAAUUAGUUUUUGUAUCAAGAUCUCAACAUUUUUUUUAUUAUUUGGAAAUUAAACCUCAUCUUUCGAUCCUUAAUAAUUUAAAAAUUAAAGCUAGUUUUCAUAUUAUAUCUUAAUUUAUUUUUCCAAAAAAAUAGCCUAAGAUAUUGUGUUUUUGUAUAAAAUCUAUCAAAUUCCAUCUACAUUUUAUUAAAUAAUUAAUAUAAAUAUAUAUAUUUUUUAAAAUCAGCUAAAAUUUUUCUAAGAAACGAGGAAGAUAAUUUUUGUAUCUUUUUGUUCUUAGUGAAGGUUUUUGUUUUUCCACCCCAAGCGUUUGAGAUUGCGGUUGUAGACUUGAAAAUCAAAGAUGGAAGAUGGAAAAUGAAGAUAAUAUUUGCAUGCUUCAAAUGUUUAUAUUAUUCUUUUUGAAAAUGCAUGAUGAAGUUUCUUUUUUAAAAUACAUGAUGGAGUUGAAGAUGAAUCCCAAACUUCAAAUGGAAAAGGGUAGAGAUUGGAGUUUGCCGCUUCAAGGUGGAAAGAUUAGGGUUUGUCCGUUCAAGAAAAAUGAGAUCAAAAAAGAAAAAUGGAAAAUAGAUACAAAAGAAGAUUUUGAAAAUGGAAGAUGAGAAACGAAAAACAAAAAAUAAAAACGAAGAUCGUUGCAACGAGUCUAGAAAAUGAAGUUGAAGGGUUUUGACUCUGAUUGGAUAAGUAUGAUGAAGGG
rnacentral:lncRNA from 1 species